GCUGCCGGAUUCCUGGAAAACAGCUUUGGUUUAUUUUCAAGCAAGCUUGCAAAUAUGUACCGGGGCCAAAGGGUAAAGAGUGUCGUGCCUGUUUCUGGGGAGACGAAGUUGACCGAGAUGAGGUCCCCCGUCUUUCCAGAAGUGCCAUGUCUGGGGAGGGGGGCCGUGAAUACACAGGGUGAGAAGAGAAGUGAUUCAGGAAUGUGUCCAAGGAUCAGGAAGGCGCCACGACACAAACUCAGGGGUGAUGUGCAGGAGGAAUUUAUACGCUGGCCACUGAGGAUGAAUAGGAGUUCGCGGGGAAGAGGCAGAGGCACUUUAGGAAAAGGAAGAGAGAUGUUCAGACAACUCAACACUGAAAGCACGGGGGAUAUUUGAGAAGCCACAGGGGAGGCCAUGGGGAGGCCAUGCCCAUCGCUGGCCCAACACGCCAGAGAUCGAGUGCAUUUGUUGAAGACCCGUGAUGGAGCAGGAUUUUCCUUCCAAACACGAAACUAAACAGGCCUGUGCUGUCAGUACAAAGACAUGCACCCUGAGCCCUGCCCCGGCAGUUCCCAAGGUGGAGCCACCGGGCAUGUUCCCUGCAAGAACCCCACUGCUGGGGACCGACCCGGUUCAGAACACGGGAUACGUUUCUGUGACGAGCAGCAGCACCCAGGGUUGUGGUUGUGACCCAGGGUAGAAAAAUGUCAAGUCCAUUCCUUCUGAUCCCAGAGAAUCCUCAAGUCCUCAAGAGCGAGCUUUUGGAGAAACACACCCCUUCAUUCCACCUAAGAAGGAGCACAUCGGGCCAAAGUCUCCUUUCCCCGGAAGUGCCGCACGCCACGCCAGCCUUUGCCAAGUACCUGCCGAGUGCCUGGCAUGUUAAUAAGUGGCUUUAUCCUCUUUGGUGUUUUAUGGUGGCAACAGACGCAUACCAUAAAGUUGACCAUUUCAAUCACUCGGAGGCGUACAGAUGAGCGGCACUGAGUACGCUGACAAUGUGGUCCUUCUGGAUCUGCCAAUUCUAGACACUUCUUACAGACGGAGUCGAGGGCGAUGUAGCCUCCUGUGGAAUGGCUCCUCUCGGUGUGCAGGGCAAUUCACGGUUCAGUCACCCUGUAGCUUCUAUCAGACUUGACGCCUCCUCAUCCCUGGCAACCUGCUGAGCCUUCGGGGUCUAGUCCUCUUCCUUAAUCUUAAAAUCAUUUGAGAUUUAUCUAUGUUGUUGCCUGUAUGACAAGUUUGCUCUUCUUGAUUGAGGUGUGGUAUUCCACUGCAUGGAUGUUGGAAGCCCAAAUGUCUCCACAUGUCCAUAUAUCCCCUCUGCCGGGUGCUUCUCCACAGACACAGCAGGGUCCUGCAUCCUGACCCCAGUCUGUCAUGCUCCUGAAAGCACCUUUCUGCCAACUCGAAAGGACGUGCUGCAUUCAGAACACUUACUACCCUUCAUGCCUACUCAGGGGCACGGAUACAAAUGGAAAAGCAGUGAUUCUCAGCGGUGGCUGCACAAUGGAAUCACCUGGGAAGGUAAAAAAAAGUUCCUGAAACCUGGGUCCACCUCCAGAGAUCCUGCUGCAAUUCCUCUGGGUGUGGCCUGGGCCCCAGGAGUGUUUCAAGCUUCCCAGGAGAUUCUAAUGUGCAGCCAAGUGUAUGAACCACAGAGAUAAAUAAAGGUGUGGUUUUUGCUUCAUAAAAGAUUUACUUUAUACAUUUUUAAAGAUUUUUUUAUUUUUAGAGAAUGUGA